CCUUCCAUCCUUCGGAGGUGGGUCAAAUGAGGGCCCAGAUUGUUGGGGGCAAUUAUGCUGACUCUGUAAACCGCUUAGAGAGGACUGUACAGCGCUGUGAAGCGGUAUAUAUGUCUUAAGCGCUAUUGCUAAUAACCACUGCAGCCAUCUAAC